rnacentral:rRNA from 1 species
AGCUUCAGUAGCGUAUAUUAAAGUUGUUGCAGUUAAAAAGCUCGUAGUCGCAUUUCUGGCGAGAGGAUCCGGUCCGACCUUUUGGUGGGUUCUUGGGUCUCUUUCGCCAUCCUUGAGUGGUCCGUUCUGGCAUUAGGUUGUCGGAGCGUCAGCCGCUCAUCGUUGAGAAAAUUAGAGUGUUCAAAGCAGGCUUAUGCCGUUGAAUAUAUUAGCAUGGAAUAAUAAGAUAGGACCUCGGUACUAUUUUGUUGGUUUGCGCACCAAGGUAAUGAUGAACAGGGACAGUUGGGGGUAUUUGUAUUUCGUUGUCAGAGGUGAAAUUCUUAGAUUUACGAAAGACAAACUACUGCGAAAGCAUUUACCAAGGAUGUUUUCA